AGUGAACGCUGGCGGUAGGCCUAACACAUGCAAGUCGAACGGCAGCACAGUAAGAGCUUGCUCUUACGGGUGGCGAGUGGCGGACGGGUGAGGAAUACAUCGGAAUCUACUUUUUCGUGGGGGAUAACGUAGGGAAACUUACGCUAAUACCGCAUACGACCUACGGGUGAAAGCAGGGGAUCUUCUGACCUUGCGCGAUUGAAUGAGCCGAUGUCGGAUUAGCUGGUUGGCGGGGUAAAGGCCCACCAAGGGGACGGUCCGUAGCCGGUCUGAGAGGAUGGUCCGCCACACUGGAGCUGAGACACGGUACAGGCUCCGACGGGAGGCAGCAGUGGGGACUAUUGGACAAUGGGCGCAAGCCUGAUCCAGCCAUACCGCGUGGGUGAAGAAGGCCUUCGGGUUGUAAAGCCCUUUUGUUGGGAAAGAAAAGCAGCAGGUUAAUACCCCGCUGUUCUGACGGUACCCAAAGAAUAAGCACCGGCUAACUUCGU
rnacentral:rRNA from 1 species